GACGAACGCUGGCGGCGUGCCUAAUACAUGCCAGUCGAACGCUGAAGUGAGGAGCUUGCUCUUCUUGGAUGAGUUGCGAACGGGUGAGUAACGCGUAGGUAACCUGCCUUGUAGCGGGGGAUAACUAUUGGAAACGAUAGCUAAUACCGCAUAACAAUGGAUGACCCAUGUCAUUUAUUUGAAAGGGGCAAAUGCUCCACUACAAGAUGGACCUGCGUUGUAUUAGCUAGUAGGUGAGGUAACGGCUCACCUAGGCGACGAUACAUAGCCGACCUGAGAGGGUGAUCGGCCAAACUGGGACUGAGACACGGCCCAGACUCCUACGGGAGGCAGCAGUAGGGAAUCUUCGGCAAUGGGGGCAACCCUGACCGAGCAACGCCGCGUGAGGGAAGAAGGGUUUCGGAUCGGAAAGCUCUGUUGUAAGUCAAGAACGAGGGUGAGAGUGGAAAGUUCACACUGCGACGGUAGCUUACCAGAAAGGGACGGCUAACUACGUG
rnacentral:rRNA from 1 species